AAUGAACGCUGGCGGCGUGCCUAAUACAUGCAAGUAGAACGCUGAAGGAGGAGCUUGCUCUUCUGGAUGAGUUGCGAACGGGUGAGUAACGCGUAGGUAACCUGCCUGGUAGCGGGGGAUAACUAUUGGAAACGAUAGCUAAUACCGCAUGACAACAGUUAUUGCAUGAUAACUGUUUAAAAGGGGCAACUGCUCCACUACCAGAUGGACCUGCGUUGUAUUAGCUAGUUGGUGAGGUAACGGCUCACCAAGGCGACGAUACAUAGCCGACCUGAGAGGGGGAUCGGCCACACUGGGACUGAGACACGGCCCAGACUCCUACGGGAGGCAGCAGUAGGGAAUCUUCGGCAAUGGACGGAAGUCUGACCGAGCAACGCCGCGUGAGUGAAGAAGGUUGUCGGAUCGUAAAGCUCUGUUGUAAGAGAAGAACGAGUGUGAGAGUGGAAAGUUCACACUGUGACGGUAGCUUACCAGAAAGGGACGGCUAACUACGUG
rnacentral:rRNA from 1 species